CACGGAAUUAGCCGGUCCUUAUUCGAAGGGUAAAUGCAAAAAGGCACGCGUGCCCCACUUUACUCCCCAACAAAAGCAGUUUACAACCCAUAGGGCCGUCAAUCCUGCACGCUACUUGGCUGGUUCAGACUUCCGUCCAUUGACCAAUAUUCCUCACUGCUGCCUCCCGUAGGAGUUUGGACCGUGUCUCAGUUCCAAUGUGGGGGACCUUCCUCUCAGAACCCCUACUGAUCGUAGCCUUGGUGGGCCGUUACCCGCACCAACAAGCUAAUCAGACGCAUCCCCAUCCUCCACCGAUGAAUCUUUGGUCCACGUCAGAUGCCAUAUGUGGACAACAUCGGGUAUUAGGCCGUCUUUCAACGGGGUAUCCCCGAGUGGAGGGAAGGUUGGAUACGCGAUACUCACCCGUGCGCCGGUCGACGUCCAGAAUGUGCAAGCACAUAAUGCCGUUUCCCCUCGACUUGCAUGUGUUAAGCCUAUAGCUAGCGUUCAUCCUGAGCCAGGAUCAAACUCU
rnacentral:rRNA from 1 species